AUUCAACCUCAGAUCAAGUAGGAUUACCCGCUGAACUUAAGCAUAUCAAUAAGCGGAGGAAAAGAAACCAACAGGGAUUGCCUUAGUAACGGCGAGUGAAGCGGCAAAAGCUCAAAUUUGAAAUCGGCCCCCAGGUCGAGUUGUAAUUUGUAGAUUGUAUCUUGAGAGCGGAUUAAAGUCUGUUGGAACACAGCGCCUUAGAGGGUGACAGCCCCGUAAAAUCUAUUCUCAUUGUAAGAUACUUUCGAAGAGUCGAGUUGUUUG
rnacentral:rRNA from 2 species